rnacentral:rRNA from 1 species
AGAACGAACGCUGGCGGCAGGCCUCAAACAUGCAAGUCUAGGGGGUGUAGCAAUACAUCACCGGCGGACGGGUGCGUAACACGUGGGAAUAUACCUUUUGGUUCGGAACAACGCAGGGAAACUUGCGCUAAUACCGAAUGUGCCCUUACGGGGAAAGAUUUAUCGCCAAAGGAUUAGCCCGCGUAGGAUUAGCUAGUUGGUGAGGUAAUGGCUCACCAAGGCUCCGAUCCUUAGUUGUUCUGAGAGGAAGAUCAGCCACACUGGGACUGAGACACGGCCCAGACUCCUACGGGAGGCAGCAGUUGGGAAUCUUGGACAAUGGGGGAAACCCUGAUCCAGCCAUGCCGCGUGAGUGAUGAAGGCCUUCGGGUUGUAAAACUCUUUCGACGGGGACGAUAAUGACGGUACCCGUAGAAGAAGCUCCGGCUAACUUCGCGCCAGCAGCCGC